CCUUCGGGUGGCUGCAGUGGGGAAUAUUGGACAAUGGGGGCAACCCUGAUCCAGCCAUGCCGCGUGUGUGAAGAAGGCCCUCGGGUUGUAAAGCACUUUCAGUGAGGAAGAACGCCUGGUGGUUAAUACCCAUCAGGAAAGACAUCACUCACAGAAGAAGCACCGGCUAACUCCGUGCCAGCAGCCGCGGUAAUACGGAGGGUGCGAGCGUUAAUCGGAAUUACUGGGCGUAAAGCGCGCGUAGGUGGCUUGAUAAGCCGGUUGUGAAAGCCCCGGGCUCAACCUGGGAACGGCAUCCGGAACUGUCAAGCUAGAGUGCAGGAGAGGAAGGUAGAAUUCCCGGUGUAGCGGUGAAAUGCGUAGAGAUCGGGAGGAAUACCAGUGGCGAAGGCGGCCUUCUGGACUGACACUGACACUGAGGUGCGAAAGCGUGGGUAGCAAACAGGAUUAGAUACCCUGGUAGUC
rnacentral:rRNA from 1 species